GCCGCCGCGGUAAUACAGAGGGUGCAAGCGUUAAUCGGAAUUACUGGGCGUAAAGCGCGCGUAGGUGGUUCGUUAAGUUGGAUGUGAAAUCCCCGGGCUCAACCUGGGAACUGCAUUCAAAACUGACUGGCUAGAGUAUGGUAGAGGGUGGUGGAAUUUCCUGUGUAGCGGUGAAAUGCGUAGAUAUAGGAAGGAACACCAGUGGCGAAGGCGACCACCUGGACUGAUACUGACACUGAGGUGCGAAAGCGUGGGGAGCAAACAGGAUUAGAAACCCCUGUAGUCC
rnacentral:rRNA from 1 species